CACUUUAUACAGUCAUCCUGCACCUACCUUAUUAGCUAAAGAACCAAAUCACUGAGGUUGUGCAGCAUGCAUAGAUCUCAAUUUAAAAACAUGAAAUAUUUUGCAGCUUUUUUUAAGUACAUAUUUGCAUGUAAUUGAAAACACAAAGAAAAAGAAGAAAAGGUUGAUUGAUGUACUAAAAAGGAAAACAUCACCUUCACACACUAUAGCAACUUCAUACAGAUAUUGGCACAAAUCUUCAUUUUCCACUUAAAAAUAACUCUAACUAUUCAACGAUGACCUUCAGCUAAACAUAGAUUGUAAUGAAAAUGAGGCUUCAUGAGGCCCAAUCACAAGCUCAGCUAAAUACCAUGGGCAUGUCUUGGGCGAAAAAGUUCAGGUGAAUAAUACUUGGAAUUCAUGGCGUUUACAUAAUUAUCUCAAAACUACGGAGUUGGUUAUAGGAAACAUAAAAUUCAGUAAAGGUUAGAACCAACAGUUGAACAAAACGAAAUCAAACACAAAUCAAAGAGAGAACAUAAGAGAAGGAAUGCUAAGCACUCCUUGAGUUCUACUACAGUUUCAAGUUAUCCAUAAGUGCACCUGGACUUUGAGGGCAUUGCCAAUUUUCUUAAGAGACUAAAGACAGGCACCAAUAGUGCAUAUGAACAGUACCUGUCUCUCAUGAGGCAGAACGAUGAGCUCGGCUAUAAAUAAAAAAAGUAAGUCGUAAACAUCCGAUGCACCUGUAUGUGCCAUUUUGCAUUUUCAAUGAAAAAUAUAUGGAAAUAGAGCCUAAUUUGACAACAAUGACCAAUUCUUACAUGUAGAGACUUGAGCCCCAAUCUUCCGAUUAUCUUUCUGAAGACAUGAAAGCAAUUUAAAUUCCUAACUCAUGUAAUCAAAUCAUCUAACAACUCUAAAACAAACACAAACACUGAAAAUUUUAUCCAACUUAUUGGAAAUGAAAGAUUCAUCAAGGCACUUCAUCACAAUCUAAUACACAUCCAUUUGUCUCAAUCCCUCAAGCCAAAUGAUGGAUAGUACUAGUACAGCUAAAUAGUAUACAAAAUAUAAUUCCCAUGCUGAUAUUCAAUAAAAGCAACCAAACCGAUCAAGAAUCAAAAAGAAAUAACGCAAUAAAUAAAUAAAUAAAACACGGCCACUAAAUUUAGGAGAGAAAGCGAGGAAUCUUUUUAC
rnacentral:lncRNA from 1 species